rnacentral:rRNA from 1 species
GACGAACGCUGGCGGCGUGCCUAAUACAUGCAAGUCGAACGCAGUGGGGACGGGUGAGUAACACGUGGGUAACCUCCCAUCAGAGGGGAUAACACUUGGAAACAGGUGCUAAACCGAUACUGAUGGAUGGACCCGCGGUGCAUUAGCUAGUUGGUGAGGUAACGGCUCACCAAGGCCACGAUGCAUAGCCGACCUGAGAGGAUGAUCAGCCACACUGAGACUGAGACACAGCCCAGACUCCUACGUGAGGCAGCAGUAGGGAAUCUUCGGCAAUCGACGAAAGUCUGACCGAGCAACGCCGCGUGAGUGAAGAAGGUUUUCGGAUCGUAAAACUCUGUUGUUUGAGAAGCGGUAUCUAACCAGAAAGCCGCGGCUAACUACGGGCGAGAGGGCGCGGUAAUUC